rnacentral:lncRNA from 14 species
GUGUGUGCCAGUGCUGUCAUUCCUCUUCUCCCCACAGGUCUAGCUGCUAAUGAUCAGCUCCUGCGCCUGAUGACCUUGCGGUAUGGCGAUGCUGCCAGGAGAAUUGGCUUCUCUGACUUCGUGUGUUGCAUGCUGCGCCUUGAAACCAUGACCUAUGCAUUUCAAAACUUAGCAGAGGGUGGAUCACAGAUUUUGAUGACGGCAACAGAGUGGCUGACUCUUGUCAUGUACACCUAAAGAGAUGUCAGAGCUCAGUGUGGCUGGUGGCUUUUCUGCUCCUCUGCAGGACACAGCCCAAGGCCAUCCGAUACAAGAGCUAUCCAUGGGGUUCUUGAAAAGCCACUGUGAAGGAGUGAAGCCAGGUUUCCCAUGGAUAUUUGCUUAUGCUUGGUGGCACUCAGAUGUCAGGAUGAAGAGUCCUUUGCAGGCAAAGGGGAGCUGCUUUGGACAGAGAAGAGGAGAUAAUGAGAGCGCUCCAUGGGCGAGCUGCUAGUACUUAAUGGUCUGGGCAAGCUCACAGUGUUGACUAUAAUAAUCUCCUUUCAUCUUCCUGUAAAUAGUAUAGCUGGUUCUCCUGUUAAUGCACAUUAGUCAGGAACAGCUCCAUUAACUCCAUUGCAAAUAAGAAUAGAAUCAGGCCUUUUGUGGAAGGAGUAUAUCACAUAGUUAACAGAAAUAAUAAAAACACAGUUGUAUAUGAAUUAUUUCUUAAU